rnacentral:lncRNA from 1 species
CCUCUGCCGGAGUUUGAGAUCAGUGCGGGUUGGGUCUAGUUGGCUUGAAUGCAUCAAACAGUUUUGGAUCCUUCAAAAACUUCGGCAUUUUCAGGUAGUGUGGCAUCAUACCUGCAAAUAAAAUAACGAAACUAUAAGAC